GUCUGGGAGAAUAUUUCCAGUUCAGCUACUUUGGACUUAAAUUUGUAAUUCACUUUCAAUUCGUUUGGAAUGUCCGACAAUUCUCAUAACACAUUCAGUGAUUUAACCAUUGAUGACUUUUCAAACAUCUCAAAAAUAUUCUAGUAUAAUACUCACCGUUCUUUGUCCUGUUUUUUCGAGCAGAUAUUGCAUAAUCUUUUCUGCGUCAUUCUGGUCAUUGACAGAAAGAACUUCAAA